UACGUAGGGUGCGAGCGUUGUCCGGAAUUAUUGGGCGUAAAGAGCUUGUAGGCGGUCUGUCGCGUCUGCUGUGAAAAUCCGGGGCUCAACCCCGGACUUGCAGUGGGUACGGGCAGACUAGAGUGUGGUAGGGGAGACUGGAAUUCCUGGUGUAGCGGUGAAAUGCGCAGAUAUCAGGAGGAACACCGGUGGCGAAGGCGGUGGUCUGGGCCGGCACUGACGCUGAGGAGCGAAAGCGUGGGGAGCGAACAGG
rnacentral:rRNA from 1 species